rnacentral:lncRNA from 10 species
AAGGAAUCUUCAUUUUAUUCAAGUUAAUCUUAUAUGAAGCAUCAUGAAAUAGAAUGAAAAUGGUCAAAGCUCAUCUGAUUGCAACAGAAUUCAGGCCAAGAGCCACCAAAGAACUGAUGUCUGCCAAAACCCAUAUGAAGGAUCUUGCAUACAGGUUCACAAGCCUCAUUUGAGCUUUGAGGUGUCAGACUCACCAGCUAACAGUUUGGGCGCAAUCUCUUAGUUUCCAGAGCCAGAAGUUCUCACGUAAGCUACUCCAAGAAUUUCAAUCUUGACCCACAGAAACUUCUCACUCCAUUGCACAGGUUGGAAUCCAGUGGCAGUAUCGUGGCUCACUGCAACCUCAACCUGCCACUCUCAUGCCAUCCAACCACCUCAGCCUCCCUAGUAGCUGGGACUACAGGUAUACGCCACAAUGCCCAGGUAAAUUAAAAAAAAAAAAUUGUGGGGACAGGGUUUUGCCAUUACAUGCAUGACCAGUUCUAACCAUUGUUGACUUUAUGGAGAGUGUAAAAAUUUUGAUUUAAAAAAAAUGAGAGCAGUAUUUGUCUAAUUCAAUUUAUUUUCCACCCUUCGCUUUCCCCCUUUGGAUAAUGGGCUAGGCUGAAAUUAUGCUUGGAGUUGUUUCAGGAAUCUUGAGGCAAUGAGAGAAAAGUUAAAGAAACAUAGAGAUGUCAAUGUGGAUCUGAAGUAUCACUGGGAAGCCAAUCCAACCUAGUGUCUGCCAACCUAGUACUUUCUUGGAGUCACUUGUAUGCCUAAAUUUUACAAACACUUUUACUGCUUAAAGCAUUGUCAUUAAUACAUAAUGCUUACCUGAAUGAUACUUUAAAGACAAUCAUGAGUUAUAUUUAAAAGCAAGAGUUAUAAAUUAUAACAAAGAAAACAUAACAAUUACAGUUACGGAUUAAAUAGGUAUAUUUUCAUUUUUGACAAGAAGCAAAAGGAUAAAAUAAAGAAAAAGACUGCAAUCAAUGAAAGUAAAAACAGAAAGAUAAUCAUGGUUGUUUAAAGAUUAACAAAAUGGACAAAUCUCUAGCCAGACUGAUUAGGAGUAGAGAGAGACUGAACAAACUGCCAAUGUCAGUAAUGAAAAUGGGGUAUCGCUACAGAUCCUAGUGACAUUAAAGAGAUGAUAAUAAAUACAAUAAAAAUUAAUGUUAAUAACUUUGACAGCUUUGACAAAAUGGGUACAUACUUUGAAUGAUAAAAACUGUCAGGCCAGGCAUGGCGGUGGCUCACGCCUGUAAUCCCAGCACUUUGGGAGUCUGAAGCAGGUGGAUUACGAAGUCAAGAGAUCGAGACCAUACUGACCAACAUGGUGAAACCCCAUCUGUACUACAAAUACAAAAACUAGCUGGGCAUGGUGGCGUGUGCCUGUAGUCCCAGCUGCUCGGGAGGCUGAGGCAGGAGAAUUGCUUGAACCUGGGAGGCGGAGGUUGCAGUGAGCCGAGAUCGUGCCAUUGGACUCCAGCCUGGUGACAGGGCGAGAGUCCGUCUCAAAAAUAAAAAAAAUAAAAAAUAAAAAAAAAGUCAAAGUUCAGUCAAGAAGAAAAGAUAAUCUGUAAAGUUCUAUAUAUAUGGGAAAAAUUGGAUUUUUAAGUUAAAUAUCUUACCACAAAAGUGAAACCUGAAACCCAAAAAGCAUUAAUGACAAACUGUACCAAAUACUUAAGGAAAUAAAGAGUACCAAUUCUAUAUGGACAUUUCCAGAAAACAGAAAAAGAGGCAAGAAUUAUAAUCUGUUGUAAAACCAGGAUUACUGUGACAGCUGAAACAGAAAUUCCAAGAGGGUAAAUGCAAGAGCAACAUACUACAAGGAUAUAAAUCCUUUUUUUUGAUACAGAGUCUUGCUCUGUCGCCCAGGCUAGAGUGCAGUGGCGCGAUCUCAGCUCACUGCAACCUCCGCCUCCCUGGUUCAAGCAAAUCUCCUGCCUCGGCCCCCCAAGUAGCUGGAAUUACAGGCACCCGCCACUGCGCCUAGCUAAUUUUUGUAUUUUUAGUAGCAACGGGGUUUCACUAUCUUGGCCAGGCUGGUCUCGAACUCCUGACCUCUUGAUCCACCUGCCUCGGAUUCCCAAUGUGCUGGGAUUACAGGUGUGAGCCACUGUGCCCGGCCAUAAAUGCAU